UCACUACUGAAGAGUCUCAGAAUAGGACGAAACAGCUGUUCAAUAC
rnacentral:hammerhead_ribozyme from 1 species